rnacentral:rRNA from 1 species
GCCCUGUGACAAUGUUCAACGGCCGCGGUAUUUUGACCGUGCAAAGGUAGCGUAAUCAUUUGUCUUUUAAAUGAAGACCCGUAUGAAAGGCACCACGAGAGUUUAACUGUCUCUAUUUUCUAAUCAAUGAAAUUGAUCUAUUCGUGCAGAAGCGAAUAUAAUAACAUUAGACGAGAAGACCCUAUGGAGCUUUAAACACUUAAGUUAAUUAUGUAACCAUUUAUUCCUCAGGGUAUAAACAAAAUAUAUAAUACUUCUAACUUAACUGUUUUUGGUUGGGGUGACCGAGGGGGAAAACAAAUCCCCCUCAUCGAUUGAGUACUCAGUACUUGAAAAUCAGAAUAACAAUUCUGAUUAAUAAAAUAUUUAUCGAAAAAUGACCCAGGAUUUCCUGAUCAAUGAACCAAGUUACCCUAGGGAUAACAGCGCAAUCCUUUCUCAGAGUUCCUAUCGAAGAAAGGGUUUACGACCUCGAUGUUGGAUCAGGACAUCCUAAUGGUGCAACUGCUAUUAAGGGUUCGUUUGUUCAACGAUUAAUAGUCCUACGUGAU